GAUGAACGCUGGCGGCGUGCCUAAUACAUGCAAGUCGAGCGAAUGGAUUAAGAGCUUGCUCUUAUGAAGUUAGCGGCGGACGGGUGAGUAACACGUGGGUAACCUGCCCAUAAGACUGGGAUAACUCCGGGAAACCGGGGCUAAUACCGGAUAACAUUUUGAACCGCAUGGUUCGAAAUUGAAAGGCGGCUUCGGCUGUCACUUAUGGAUGGACCCGCGUCGCAUUAGCUAGUUGGUGAGGUAACGGCUCACCAAGGCAACGAUGCGUAGCCGACCUGAGAGGGUGAUCGGCCACACGGAGACUGAGACACGGACCAGACUCCUACGGGAGGCAGCAGUAGGGAAUCUUCCGCAAUGGACGAAAGUCUGACGGAGAAACGCCGCGUGAGUGAUGAAGGCUUUCGGGUCGUAAAACUCUGUUGUUAGGGAAGAACAAGUGCUAGUUGAAUAAGCUGGCACCUUGACGGUACCUAACCAGAAAGCCACGGCUAACUACGUGCCAGCCGCCGCGGUAA
rnacentral:rRNA from 1 species